UAACAAAUUCUCCCAUGAAAUGUUUUCCCCUUUUGUGAUAAUUCAAAGGGGAAUGAUAACCCAUUCACAUGAAACAAAAAUUCCCCUUAUCGUAAACUUGGGAUUUCUCAAAAAAUAUUUCAUUUUUCCCAUAAAUUUGUUCACAUCGUUUUUGCUGGGGAGUUGCUUUAAACAUGAGCCGAAGUGUGAACAAAAAUCAACACGAGAUUUUGCUCAACAAAAUGCAAAAUAACAGGACAAUUGCGUGUGGCUUUGUCAAAAUUUCAAAGGACGUAAUGACAGAAUUUUGGAAUAGUCUUACAGAGGAAUUGAAUAGUAACGGCCCUCCUAUUAAAAACGUGUCAGAAUGGGAAAAACAUGUGGAUAGAUCGUUCAAUAGCAGCCACAAAUUUAAAAAACAGCCGGGAUAGGGUGGUGGUCCAAACCAAACACAGACGCUUUCGCAUAAUGAGCAAUGCAUAUACGAGCUUGUUGGAAUGAAGGAAUCAAUAGAGGGUAUAGAAAAUGCAUCUACGUUUGGAUUACCUGCGCAAACUAAACCCGAAUAAUCCGCCAACGUCUCCCAUACAGCUUGAGGAAACCAUUGAUUAUUUGGAUGAGAGUCCUAGAUGCUC